UACGGAGGGAGCUAGCGUUGUUCGGAAUUACUGGGCGUAAAGCGCGCGUAGGCGGUUUUUUAAGUCAGAGGUGAAAGCCCAGUGCUCAACACUGGAACUGCCUUUGAAACUGGAAAACUUGAAUCUUGGAGAGGUCAGUGGAAUUCCGAGUGUAGAGGUGAAAUUCGUAGAUAUUCGGAAGAACACCAGUGGCGAAGGCGACUGACUGGACAAGUAUUGACGCUGAGGUGCGAAAGCGUGGGGAGAAAACAGG
rnacentral:rRNA from 1 species